rnacentral:lncRNA from 1 species
CUGCCCUGCUGGCACUGGGCUGGGAGCCAUCACACCGGCACAGGCACUGGGGCUGUGGGAGCAGCGAGGACUUGGCAGGGAAAGCGAGCAGCAAAGGAGUGACCGUCCUCCUCAGCAGCUCAUUGGGGUGCUACGUGGGGUGCAGAAAAACAUGCUUGGCAGCAGCUCCUGGCUUGGAGAGAGUAAACGUGUCUGAAAGUGUCCAAAUCUGUCUGCAUAGCAGGGGGAGAAUGAAAGUGAAGUUUUCUCCUUCAACAGAACCCCGGCAGGAGGAGUUGGAUAAAUGAGCGUCCUCCAGAGUCAGCCAAGCUGGAGUGCAACAGUGGAAAACUGGAAGAUGCUGGGAGUAGAUGUGAAUAUUUAAAGUUCCCAGGGGGGUUGGGAAGGAUCC